GACGAACGCUGGCGGCGUGCUUAACACAUGCAAGUCGAACGGGCCUUGUCCCCUUUUUUUUUGGGGGUGGGGUUAGUGGCGAACGGGUGAGUAACACGUGAGUAACCUGCCCCUCACUUCUGGAUAACCGCUUGAAAGGGUGGCUAAUACGGGGUGUUCUGGCCUGCUCGCAUGGGUGGGUUUGGAAAGAUUCGACCGGUUUUGGUUGUUUUGGUGGGGGAUGGGCUCGCGGCCUAUCAGCUUGUUGGUGGGGUGAUGGCCUGCCAAGGCUUUGACGGGUAGCCGGCCUGAGAGGGUGAGCGGUCACACUGGGACUGAGACACGGCCCAGACUCCUACGGGAGGCAGCAGUGGGGAAUAUUGCACAAUGGGCGCAAGCCUGAUGCAGCGACGCCGCGUGAGGGAUGGAGGCCUUCGGGUUGGGAACCUCUUUCGCCAGUGAAGAAGGUCCUGCUCUUUGUGGUGGGGUUGACGGUAGCGGGGUUAAUGAAGCGCCGGCUAACUACGUG
rnacentral:rRNA from 1 species